UCAGGCGGGACAUUAAGUCGGCGGUGAAAUUUUGCGGCUCAACCGUAAAAGUGCUUUCGAAACUGGUAUCUUGAGUGUGGAUGAGGUAGGCGGAAUUUGUGGUGUAGCGGUGAAAUGCAUAGAUAUCACGAGGAACUCCGAUUGCGCAGGCAGCUUACUAAGCCAUAACUGACGCUCAAGCACGAAGGCGUGGGGAUCAAACAGGAUUAGAUACCCUGGUAGUCCACGCAGUAAACGAUGAUUACUGGCUGUUUGCGAUAUAAUGUAAGCGGCUGAGCGAAAGCGUUAAGUAAUCCACCUGGGGAGUACGUUCGCAAGAAUGAAACUCAAAGGGAUUGACGGGGGCCCGCACAAGCGGAGGAACAUGUGGUUUAAUUCGAUGAUACGCGAGGAACCUUACCCGGGCUUGAAAUGCGUCUGACAGUCGGAGAGAUCCGAUCUCCCUUCGGGGCAGACGUGUAGGUGCUGCAUGGUUGUCGUCAGCUCGUGCCGUGAGGUGUCGGCUUAAGUGCCAUAACGAGCGCAACCCUCAUCGUUAGUUGCCAUCAGGUAGUGCUGGGGACUCUAACGAGACUGCCAUCGUAAGAUGCGAGGAAGGUGGGGAUGACGUCAAAUCAGCACGGCCCUUACGUCCGGGGCGACACACGUGUUACAAUGGGUGGUACAAAGGGCAGCUACAUGGCGACAUGGUGCCAAUCCCCAAAACCACUCUCAGUUCGGAUCGGAGUCUGCAACUCGACUCCGUGAAGCUGGAUUCGCUAGUAAUCGCGCAUCAGCCACGGCGCGGUGAAUACGUUCCCGGGCCUUGUACACACCGCCCGUCAAGCCAUGGAAGCUGGGGGUGCCUGAAGUCCGUAACCGUUGAGGAGCGGCCUAGGGUAAAACCGGUGACUGGGGCUAAGUCGUAACAAGGUAGCCGUACCGGAAGGUGC
rnacentral:rRNA from 1 species